rnacentral:lncRNA from 1 species
GUGCCAGGGGCGGACAAAACGACGAGGCUAAAAUUUCUUCCACAUGCUCUCCUACAAACUGCGAGUAUUUGCUGGGGCUGAAGAAGUGGAAGAAUUGCUGCAGCAGCCCGCUGUGUCCAAUCAACGACCCGACCAGCAGCACCCACAAUUUCCUGCUGAAAGUGCGAAUGUGCUGCGGGCAGCGGAAAUGCCAACUAGCCACAAAAAUUUGCGACAUCUACGAGCCUCUGGUGCACAUCGAGGAGGACUUCGGUGCAGUUGGAGAUGAGCAGUAUCACUAUCUGGCCACUGAUGCUUCAACAGAAGCCCAACCAGAAAGUUCAGCGGCAUCAAUCGAAAUCAGUCUUCUUGAUGUGCAUGAGGCCACGCCACUGGAGGAUCCGAGGGAAGAAUUGGAAGAAGUAGAGUUGGCAAGUUUCGGGUGGGUUUAGUUAGUGUUUAUGUCUUGUUGCGCUGGUUUUGCAGCCCAGCGUGCCGCAAAGAUCCAGCGACAGUAUCAGCGAUCAGAAUGCUGCGGAAUCGUCCAGAAGAACCAGCACAGUGAGCUGGAAUGUGCCCCACGAAGACACUGCUGGCCCAUCCACUAGCCAAGAACAAGUAAAAACUCCGAAAUUUGCCUCCUUGCGCCCUCUGCCAGCCA